rnacentral:tRNA from 1 species
GACUCUUUAGUAUAAAAAGUACGUUGCUCUUUCUAGGCAAAAGUGUUUAGUGAUCAAGAGUUU